GCCUACCAUCUGGAGAACAAAUUGCUGCAACUCCCAGAGGAGAUCCAUUGAGAUUGAAAGGGUAAACUUCAGUUGGAUUCCCAUCAUCAUCACAAUAUCUUACCGGAGCCAAGUUAGAGUGGAGAAGACGGUCGAGAACACCAUCAUCAGGGAAGUAUGCUCUCCCCUCACCAUGGGCAGACCACACACCCAAAGUACUGCCUUCCAUUCCCUUAAGCAUUAUAGCUGGAGAAUCCUUUAUGGUCACACUUGUGAAACGACACUCAA
rnacentral:misc_RNA from 1 species